UAAAAAGCAAUGAAAUCGAAAGCAAUCUCAGAAACAGUCUGCAUUUCCUUUCCAGAAACAUACCGAUGAUGAUGUCUCAGUGUGGGGGAGUGUCACAUGGGCCUUUGCAUAGAUAAGAGACCACACAACAGUGGCACUUGCUCAACAAAGAAUGUGCCAGUCUAGAAGGCUUCAGAGGAAAGAGAUGCUGAGAUAUGUCAAACCUUGAUGUGGCUACCACCAAUUCAAACCCAGGUGAUGAAUUCAAUCUAAAUGCUUGGAAGUAGAAUAAAAACUUGACAGUAGAACCAUCUCCUGUGACCAGGCAAGACUUCAAAUGGAAGGAGUGGGAAACCAACCCAGCCGCAUAACCUUCAAACUACAGUCUGUUCUGCCUAUGGGAUGUGCUGGGGUAAGGAUGACCUAGAGAUUGAGAGAGUGGCCAAACAGUGGCUGGUCUAGCCUAAAACCCUUGUGAGUUGAGUGAGCCCACCCCUUACAUUGCCUGGAGCACCAGGACCCACACACUGGAUGACCCAGAGACUUAGGAUAGAGCCAAACACCACUGGAGGAAAAGCAGUGUCAAUGUAAUGACGCCUAACAAUAUUCCACUAUACUCAUAGAUUGGUGCCUAACCCACUUUUCAUCAGAGAGGCUUCAUCCAGCAACUGAUGGAAUUAAAUGC